UAAUACGGAGGGGGCAAGCGUUGUUCGGAUUUACUGGGCGUAAAGGGUGUGUAGGCGGUUGCGCAAGUCUGGUGUGAAAUCUUCACCGCUUAACGGGAAGAGGUCACUGGAAACUGCGUAACUCGAGUGUGGUAGAGGCAAGCGGAAUUCCUGGUGUAGCGGUGGAAUGUGUAGAUAUCAGGAAGAACACCUGUGGCGAAGGCGGCUUGCUGGGCCAUCACUGACGCUGAGACACGAAAGCGUGGGGAGCAAACGGGAUUAGAUACCCCGGUAGUCCACGCUGUAAACGGUGCGCACUAGGUGUGGGAGGUAUCGACCCCUCCUGUGCCGCAGUCAACACAUUAAGUGCGCCGCCUGGGGAGUACGGCCGCAAGGUUG
rnacentral:rRNA from 1 species